rnacentral:lncRNA from 1 species
UUCUCAUAUGACAACACAUGACCAAGGUCCGUUCUAGUCUUAAUCAAUGCCAAAUCUACUAAUUCCCUUUUUUUGACAUUUUUUCGGUCUUACUUUCAACUCAGAUUUGACGAGCUUAGGGCAUAGUUGAAGGAAAUAGGGUUAGGAUUUAGGAAGAGGGGAAUGAGGGGAUCACAGGGUGUUAAAUUGGUGAGGAUUGGUGGUGGCUUCGCCACCCCAAGGAGGUGGGAAAAAGGGGCGGCGGGCUAGGGUUCAGAUAUUCGUCUUUGAGAGGAAGAUGAAAAAGAUGAGAGACAAG